rnacentral:rRNA from 1 species
UACGUAGGGAGCAAGCGUUGUCCGGAAUCACUGGGCGUAAAGCGCGUGUAGGCGGCUUCUUAAGUCCGAUGUGAAAGCCCGGGGCUCACCCCCGGAAGUGCAUUGGAUACUGGGAAGCUGGAGUACCGGAGAGGAGGGUGGAAUUCCUGGUGUAGCGGUGAAAUGCGUAGAUAUCAGGAGGAACACCUGUGGCGAAGGCGACAUCCUGGACCGGUAUUGACGCUGAGGCGCGAAAGCCAGGGGAGCAAACGGG